GUGAGUAGUUCAGAGUUUGAUCCUGGCUCAGGACGAACGCUGGCGGCGUGCCUAACACAUGCAAGUCGAACGGAAGUAAGUUUUCGGAUUUACUUUUAGUGGCGAACGGGUGAGUAACGCGUGAGAAACCUGCCUUUCAGUGGGGGACAACAGUUGGAAACGACUGCUAAUACCGCAUAACACUUUAGAAUCGCAUGAUUCAGAAGUCAAAGCUUUAAGUGCUGAAAGAUGGUCUCGCGUCUGAUUAGCUAGUUGGUGAGGUAACGGCUCACCAAGGCGACGAUCAGUAGCCGGUCUGAGAGGAUGAACGGCCACAUUGGGACUGAGAUACGGCCCAG
rnacentral:rRNA from 1 species